rnacentral:rRNA from 1 species
CCUACGGGAGGCAGCAGUAGGGAAUCUCCCACAAUGGGCGAAAGCCUGAUGGAGCAACGCCGCGUGGGUGAAGAAGGUCUUCGGAUCGUAAAACCCUGUUGUUAGAGAAGAAAGUGCGUGAGAGUAACUGUUCACGUUUCGACGCUAUCUAACCAGAAAGCCACGGCUAACUACGUGCCAGCCGCCGCGGUAAUACGUAGGUGGCAAGCUUUAUCCGGAUUUAUUGGGCGUAAAGGGAACGCAGGCGGCCUUUUAAGUCUGAUGUGAAAGCCUCGGCUUAACCGGAGUAGUGCAUUGGAAACUGGGAGACUUGAGUGCAGAAGAGGAGAUUGGAACUCCAGGUGUAGCGGUGAAAUGCGUAGAUAUAUGGAAGAACACCAGUGGCGAAAGCGGCUCUCUGGUCUGUAACUGACGCUGAGGUUCGAAAGCGUGGGUAGCAAACAGGAUUAGAUACCCCAGUAGUC